UUGAAAGAACGCAAUAUAUCACAAAAUUUUCAAAUCAUAAAAACUUAAGCAAAAGGGAUAAAUAGUCAUAAAAAAUUAAGCAAAACGCUAAACAGGUAUAGCGGAUACAGCACAAUGCCAAUUGCAGCUCGAGUACAAGGCCGCAUGUGCCAAACAGACAGCCUUCCACAUGCCUGGCGGCGGAACAGAACUCUUAUCUUGUGCUGCAAGCCAAGGUCUACUCCGCCGUGGGAAAGUUUAAUUGGGACGUGGAUGUGGGAAAGGCGCACUUUGUCAACGUCUGCACAACAAUCCGACCGUGUCCAGUGAGAAGGCACCCCGGUAAUGUUUGGAAAUCCGAUGAUAGUUUAGAUGAUAGUUCAAACAGACACCUUGAACAUCGGCAAAGGUCUCUGAGCAAGUUUUGAGCAUAGGUUCAAGAUCCUCAACGAUUUCGCCGACGAACGGGUCUGCAAACAUAACUUGAUAGUGCAGCGUGGCUACGAUUGCUUUGACUUCAUCAAUCAACGGAACCAUUUUAUACCGAUACGACGCUGCUUACUGAUAGACGGCUCGUACAAGAAGCACUCUGUAGCCUGCUACUCUCCUUUUACAUAGUCCUGUUUUCUGUAUGUCAGGAAAUUGAAAUCAUCUUUGACAUCAGGAGGAGAGAGAAUCUUUCGCGUUUCUUGCAGCUCUCCGAUGCACAGAUGGCCGAUGUACUGAGAGAUACAACUAUAUGGUGGUCCAGCUUCCCGCAUAACAUCGGGGAAGGCUGACGGGUCCGAGCAAACAGGACAAUACUCAGUACUGCUGGAGGGACUCUUACUUAGUGGCCGACACCCAAUCUCAGGGUGCAGGCUAAGAUUAACAUAACAUGCACAUGUAGGCAUAAAUACUAAUUUUGAAAAAAAAAAAUGUAAUGACCAGCUUUUUAUAAACCAAAAUGUGUAGCAUA